rnacentral:rRNA from 1 species
CUACGGGGGGCAGCAGUGGGGAAUAUUGGACAAUGAGCGAAAGCUUGAUCCAGCAAUACCGCGUGAGUGAUGAAGGCUAUUUAGGUUGUAAAACUCUUUCAGCAGGGAAGAUGAUGACGGUACCUGCAGAAGAAACUCCGGCUAACUUCGUGCCAGCAGCCGCGGUAAUACGAAGGGCGUUAGUGUUAUUCGGAAUCAUUGGGUGUAAAGGGUACGUAGGCGGUUAAUUAAGUUAGAAGUGCAAGCCCAAUGCUUAACAUUGGAACUGCUUCUAAAACUGCUUAACUUGAGUUAAAGAGAGGAUGGUAGAAUUUCUAGUGUAGAGAUACAAUUCGUAAAUAUUAGAAGGAAUACCAGAGGCGAAGGCGACCAUCUAACUUUAUACUGACGCUGAGGUACGAAAGCAUGGGGAGCAAACAGGAUUAGAUACCCCGGUAGUC